rnacentral:rRNA from 1 species
AGCCAGCAGCCGCGGUAAUACGUAGGAGGCGAGCGUUGUCCGGAUUUAUUGGGCGUAAAGAGCGCGUAGGCGGCCUGGCAAGUUGGGUGUGAAAUCCCUUGGCUCAACUGAGGGGGGUCAUCCGAUACUGCUGGGCUUGAGGCAGGCAGAGGAAGGUAGAAUUCCCGGUGUAGUGGUGAAAUGCGUAGAUAUCGGGAGGAAUACCAGUGGCGAAGGCGGCCUUCUGGGCCUGUCCUGACGCUGAGGCGCGAAAGCGUGGGGAGCGAACCGGAUUAGAUACCCGGGUAGUCCACGCAGUAAACGAUGGACACUAGGUGUGGGGGGUAUCGACCCCUCCCGUGCCGAAGCUAACGCAUUAAGUGUCCCGCCUGGGGAGUACGGCCGCAAGGCUAAAACUUAAAGGAAUUGGCGGGGGA